rnacentral:rRNA from 1 species
GCUUGCUCUUUCCGGAAUUGAGUGGCAAACGGGUGAGUAACACGUAAACAACCUGCCUUCAGGAUGGGGACAACAGACGGAAACGACUGCUAAUACCGAAUAAGUUCCAAGAGCCGCAUGGCCCAUGGAAGAAAAGGUGGCCUCUACCCGUAAGCUAUCGCCUGAGGAGGGGUUUGCGUCUGAUUAGCUGGUUGGAGGGGUAACGGCCCACCAAGGCGACGAUCAGUAGCCGGUCUGAGAGGAUGAACGGCCACACUGGAACUGAGACACGGUCCAGACUCCUACGGGAGGCAGCAGUGGGGAAUCUUCCGCAAUGGGCGAAAGCCUGACGGAGCAACGCCGCGUGAGUGAUGACGGCCUUCGGGUUGUAAAACUCUGUGAUCCGGGACGAAAAGGCAGAGUGCGAAGAACAAACUGCAUUGACGGUACCGGAAAAGCAAGCCACGGCUAACUACGUGCCAGCAGCCGCGGUAAUACGUAGGUGGCAAGCGUUGUCCGGAAUUAUUGGGCGUAAAGCGCGCGCAGGCGGCUUCCCAAGUCCCUCUUAAAAGUGCGGGGCUUAACCCCGUGAUGGGAAGGAAACUGGGAAGCUGGAGUAUCGGAGAGGAAAGUGGAAUUCCUAGUGUAGCGGUGAAAUGCGUAGAGAUUAGGAAGAACACCGGUGGC